CAGGCUGCAACUCGCCUGCAUGAAGUCGGAAUUGCUAGUAAUCGCAGAUCAGCAUGCUGCGGUGAAUACGUUCCCGGGCCUUGUACACACCGCCCGUCACACCAUGGGAGUCGGUAACACCCGAAGUCAGUAGCCUAACCGUAAGGAGGGCGCCGCCGAAGGUGGGAUUGAUGACUGGGGUGAAGUCGUAACAAGGUAUC
rnacentral:rRNA from 1 species